UGAAAGUCAAGGCUAGAGAAUCCCAAAGGAUCUCCUCUAGCCACCUUCCAUUUCACAUUACAUUUCUCUCAUUUUCCAUUUCAAUUUCUCACUCCUCCACCUAAUCACCACCGUACACCAUUUCUCUGCGUGGCACGCUACCACGAUUUCCACCAAUCCGCAUCCGCCACAUAGCUUUUCCACCUUGCUCCCCUACAUCACCAGACCACACCUUCAGAGAAUUAUUCCUCUCUCGAAGCCGCGACUCCAUUUAGGGUUUUUCCCUCUCGAGAGCAUCCUUCAACCACGAACCACAGUUCAUCGUCUCUUCAUCUCAGAUCUUCGUCUUCCACCGAAUCACAGCCUAGAUCCAACCAUUUUCCACCGAUUAUCUUUCGUUCCCACCGAUCAAAACCUCGAUUCUUUCCCAUUCCACCGAUUCAAGCGGUGAAUCCUCCAGUUUCACCGAUUAAAAUCUCCUCAAUCCUUAAACCUAUCACUUACACCGAACAAACUACCAUAAACCCUAGGUUUCCUCCGUUUUUGUUAUUCCGCUGCAUCUAUUGUUCGGUUCGUUAGUCGGUCCGAUUCAGUUUCUCCAGCUCGUCGCCGUUCUUCCUCAAGGCGUCCUGUAUCAUGUGGUAUUCAGAGCACCGGUUCGUCCACGGACAUCAAGAGAUAAGUAUUUCUAGUCUGUGUUGUGUCAUUAUUCUCUGUUGAUCCUAUCUUGAGUUGAUUCACAUCUCUGUUGUGUAAUGAUUCGUUUUGUUCUGAUCUGAUUCUAGUUUCGGUGUUGAUUCGUGUUUUUGUUGAUUUCUUCCAUUUCGUGUUGUGCACUGAGUUUCCUUCACUGUCUCGAGUAGUUGUUGCUUAUGAACUGUUUAAUUAAAAGUCUGAAUGAGAUUCAAUCUGUUUGUUCGUUCUUGAAUCUGAACUUCUGUGUUAGGUUUCCAAGUUUUACUUGAUCUGUGUUUGUUGUGCCUUUGCGUUUUUGAUUUGAGUCUUAUUUUCAUCUUUAUUCGGUGAAUCAUCUGCUUUGAGUAUUUUGAUUUCUAAAUCAUUUCUGUUAUGUCAAAGUCAUGUAAGUUUGUUUUUCUGUCUUCAAUUCGAAGUUGAAUUUGCUGAGUGAAAAAGUGUCUCUGGUGCAUAUCACUGAUUAAUCCAUGUAAUCCAUGUUGAGCACACCAAAUGAGCAAUGAUAUGUUCAAAAAGAGCUCGGGUGCUAGCUAGUAUCAUCAGAUGUAUGUUACUGAACUUCAAGUUGCCAUAAUUUGUUUCAAUCAUUCUUUUUAAUUCAAAAUCAGUAACAUCAGUGAAGACUGAUUAUUUUUUUUGUGAUUGGUUGAGUGGUAUUUUGGUGCAGUCCUGUUAAGCUAUGAAUUGCCAAUGCAAGAGCUUGAUUGUACCUUAGUAAAGCACUUCAAUCCAAGUUUUGCAGUUGACCGAUCUGCAUUGUCUUGUGUGAGUCUAGUUUUUGUUUUUAAAAUCUGAUCUGGCAUAUAGAUCCUUGUUGGACAUCUUGUAUUCACUGCUUCCAACAUUAUUUUUUCUUGCCUGUUCUGCAUCUCAGUGUGAAGUUAUUGCAUGGUGAAGCCUGAUUUUAGCAGAAUGCUCAUUUAGUCAAACUACCAAGAUCAGUUUGCACGAAACUGCUAUAGGGGCUGAGUGUCUUGAUGCUUUGGUGUCUAGCCUUUGUUUGCUUGUGUUUUCUGAGUUGAACCAUUGUGCUUUUCAUUUGAAUAACCUGUUGAAUAGUUGAAAAGGUAGUAGUUCAUUAUGUUGUUGUGAACUGUAGCAAAAGCUUUCAAUAUUAAAACAGCCUUGAAUAAUCAUGAUAGCUGGUUUCUAAAACAGCAAAGGAAAGAAAGAAGCAAUUUGAAAAAAAGUGCAGUUCACAUUAUGAUUGUCAAAUUCUCAAUCUAUUUGAUUGUCAGCAGUGUAGACAUUCAAUCUGUUAUGUUGGUUCAACUUAAGUUUUUCUUUUGUUGUUUUUAAAAUCUAUUCUAACGCCAUUCUUAGGAUCAUUUUGAGUGCUUACUUUCUAAAUAGCCUAUUUUUUUAUUUGCUUGUCUUGUUGGCUGUCUUGGUUGUGUCAAUCACGUGUAAAUCUGUUCAGCUGAUUUUAAUUGGAGCUUUUAGUUGAUUUCUUAAUCUGGUCUCAAUUCAGUUGCUCUGCUGUUUUAUCAUGUCCAAUGCCUUGUGCUUAAUUGUUGGUUGAUUCGUUCUGUUUCUGCCUACCACCUUGUUUAGUCUACCAAUUUUUAUGAAUUGAGAAUCUGAUAUUAUACUGGAAAUUGGAAGAAAGGUAUUUGUGAAUGGUAGCAUCUUAGGUGGUGGAGAUCCACAGAAUUCUCUGACCUUGACUGAAAUGUUUUUUCAAAGCCUACCUUUGAGUGUGUAAACUGUUAGAAUGAAUCCUUGAGGGAUGUGAGUCUUGUGAGGCUGAUGUUGGCCUAAAUUUCUUGGACAAUUUGUAUGGGAGAAUCAGUUUUGCUUAACUGUUGCUUAAUCAUCUGAUUGUUCAUUGUGCAGGCUACUUAAGCCUUUUUAACGUCAGUUUUGAAUUCAUAUAAUUGAAUCUGGUUUAAGGUCCAAUUGCGUUCACAAUUGUUGGAAUCUGGUGUGAAAUUUUGGUGUGCAGAGCUGAUUUGUGGGAGCUUUGAGCUAAAGGGAGUUUUCUUUAUCUCAAAUUGUUUCUUAUAUGCAUAAAUUGUUUUGUCUGUUCUGCAUAUCUUAUAGUUAGAAUUGUGUGAUCUGUUGAAUUAGUGGAAUUGUCUGUGCAGUAUCAAUUAAGACAUUAUUUGAGAACGUGUUCUUAUUCUAAAUUGUGCUAAUCAGUUGGAUUUGUUGUUUUUGCUGUGACAAGCUGUCUUUGUUGUGUCUGUUUUGGAUUGGUACAUAUUGCAGCAACAAUACCACCCGUGUAGCUUGAAGUCGAGCUACCCAGUUUGGGAUUCAGUUCGUGUAGGAGUUUAUUGAGAAAACAACAGCUUAAGCAUUUCAUAUUGGAGUUUGAACUGAAGGGAGUCUUUCGUUUCAUUAUCUCUGUUUUCUUUAAGUUGAAUUGUUCCUGUUAUUGUUUGGUCUUGAUUAGCAACUGGAGAAGUGUUGACUUAGUGUUGAAUUCUUUGUGCAGCAGAUCUCAAUUUGGAGGCAAAGGAAAUUCUUUCAGCUACAUCAAUUGUCGAGAUCAAGAGAAAAGAUUGGACUAGCCAGCAGAUUGAUUUCAUAAAAUUGAUUUCAGGAGACCCCAAAGUUGUCCAGCAACAAUAGUCUUUCAUGGAAAGAAAACGAAAUUCCUAGUUGCAUCAAGUUUACAAGCUCAUUAAAACAUGGAAGUUCUUACUGCCCUAUAUCUUCUUUGGUACCAUCUGUUUUAAACAAGAGAAUAUUAAAAUGUGCAUGUGUAUUGGUUGUAUUGGUAGGAUUGGACUAGUUAGGAGACUCCAGAUCAUUCAUGAUGUAGAAGUAAGCAAGAGCACACCGAAGCUGUCCAGAAAUUGUCAAGAAGCAACCAAACGUGGCACGAGAGUGUGGGUACAAAAAGAUUUGGACCAUAGCAGAGGAGCAGUAGAAUAGUUUCAAUUUUUUUGUUUUGUUUGUAUUUCUAUUGGGCUUGUGUUAGCCCACUGGUAGUUUUAGUUUUAUUUUAGUUUGUAAAAGGGCCUUUAUAUAAAGUCCAAGUUUGGAAGAGUCAUUGCUGCUCUUUCAAAUCUUGGCAACUUUUAUUGUUUGUUUCUUUAAUUUUAGCAUAGCUAGACAGGUGCAUAGGAGUAGAAUUUGAUUGUCUUACAUGUGUGUGUGAUUUUCACGUGUAAGUGUGACCUUGUCACGUUAGAGUCCGAAAACGUUUUAGGGGUCUUAAAGUCCGAUUGUCUUUGUUUGUGUGUUCUUUGAUUUUAAAAGUAAUUUUAAUUUAAAGGGUAUUUAGUGAGUAGCAUAAAACAAAUCUGGCAAGGCAAAGACUUAGUACUUAAGCAAUCCUAGUGGUUCACCUCUCUUACCUGGGAUUUGUCAAGUGUGAAAUCUUUAAACUCUUUAGAUUAGAAGAACUUUUAAGAACAAAGAUGUCUUGUUAUUCAUAUAGUUCCUCUAGGUCAUUUAGUUCAUCUAGGAACUAUAAUUUUGAUCAGCCCAUUAGUCUUAAAGAUAUUAAAAGAGAACAUGAUAAAGCUAGAAGGAAGACUUGUUCAUUUCAUGAGUUUGAUAGGAUUGAGGAUAAUUUGUAUAAACAAGCUAGGGAAAAUAUUCCAUUCUUUGGUGAGGAUAUUGGUGCAUUAACAUACUUAGCUUGGGAAAUAGAAAUUGAAGACAUGCAUUUCUUUAUGGUUAGAAGAAGUCAAUCUGACUCUUAUUAUUCUCGUGACUGUGAAUCAUAUAUCAUGCAUCUUUACAUUUCUAGAUUUGAAGGGUAUGCAAGAGAGUGGUGGGAAGCAAGAGAAUAUCAUGUUACCAUAGGUAGAAAAUCUCCCAUCAAUGAUUGGAAUGAAUUGAAAGGUUGUUUGAGAAAAAAAAAUUGUGCCUCUAGAGAUUCAAAGAAAUUUACAACUUAUGAGAGAGUUUAUUAAAGGAGGCAAGUCAUUCAUUCAAAAUUUAAGUGGAUUCUAUCAAAGGGAAACAGAGUUUAGAGACAAACUCAUGAAGUUUUUGAGUGAGGGUGAGGGAAGUAGAAGAAGAUUUGAGAGAGAACAUAGGCAAUUACAAGAGAGAAUAGAGAGACAAGAGAGAAGAAAAGAGAGAAAAAGAGAAGAAGAAAGAAGAAGAGAAAGAGAGAGAAGAAGAGAACAAAUGAGAAUAGAAGAGGAAGAAAAAAUAGAGCAACAUAGGAAAGAAGAGGAAGAAAAAGAGAAAAUAAGAAGAGAGACAGAAAAGAGAGAAGGGGAAGAAAAGCGAUAGAAGGAAGAAAUUGAAAGGAAAGAAAGGGAAGAAAACAAAUUGUUGACAAUAUCUCCUAAUCUAGAACCUAAAAGGGGAGGUUUUCUAUCCUUUAACUUUCCUUCAAUUGAUAUUACAUGUUCCACAUUCAUCUUUUCUUUUCAAAACAUUGCCAUCACAUCUUUUCCAAAGUUGCACUCCUUAACACAUGGCAACCAAAGACUUGAGUUAGAGAUAUCUUCCAAGUUAUUACUAAUUCAAGACAAAAACAUAUUUUCAAAUGGAGUAAGGUUUAUUUUUAGUCAUCAACUUGAAAAUUUCAAAGUUAGGAAACCUUCUUCUAAACAUAUUUCUUUAUACAUCUUAUUGGGUCAAAUGAAACUAAUUAGAGAUAUGUUUGAUGCUUAUUGCAGAUUAAUAUUUGAUCCAGGAGGAACUUCCAUGGAGAUUACAACAAUAAGUCCUCAGGCGAACCAUCAGAUUUGAGGAAAAAUCCUUUCCAAGAGGGAGGGGAUGAUACGCGGGGCCCAAGCCCAAUGUCUUUAGUGUAGACUUUCUUUUAUUUGUAUUAGAGAUGUGUACAAUGUGUUAGGCAUGUGGUACAUUUAGUCUAUAUAUAGGCAUGNUAACACAUCUUGUAAUCACUUUUGAGCUAAUUGAAUUGUUUUUCUGUUGAGAAUCACUCCAGAGCAAUUCUACCUUGAAAGUCAAGGCUAGAGAAUCCCAAAGGAUCUCCUCUAGCCACCUUCCAUUUCACAUUACAUUUCUCUCAUUUUCCAUUUCAAUUUCUCACUCUCCACCUAAUCACCACCGUACACAAUUUCUCUGCGUGGCACGCUACCACGAUUUCCACCAAUCCGCAUCUGCCACAUAGCUUUUCCACCUUGCUCCCCUACAUCACCAGACCACACCUUUAGAGAAUUAUUCCUCUCUCGAAGCCGCGACUCCAUUUAGGGUUUUUCCCUCUCGAGAGCAUCCUUCAACCACGAACCACAAUUCAUCGUCUCUUCAUCUCAGAUCUUCGUCUUCCACCGAAUCACAACCAAGAUCCAACCAUUUUCCACCGAUUAUCUUCCUUUCCCACCGAUCAAAACCUCGAUUCUUUCCCAUUCCACAGAUUAAAUCGGUGAAUCCUCCAGUUUCACUGAUUAAAAUCUCCUCAAUCCCUAAACCUAUCACUUACACCGAACAAACUACCAUAAACCCUAGGUUUCCUCCGUUUUUGUUAUUCCGCUGCAUCUAUUGUUCGGUUCGUCAGUCGAUCCGAUUCAGUUUCUCCAGCUCGUCGCC
rnacentral:lncRNA from 1 species